AUGCCUGCAGCGCAUGCUGGAAGGGUGUACUCACUCAGAUGUGGGCUGAGGCCAGGGCCAGAGCCACAGGGGGUGCUCUGGUUCCUGGUGGGAGCCACACAGCUCAACACAAUGUCCUGGCUACCUCUGUCAGUUCUCAGCUUCAGCAUCCUCUGUGAAGGACAGGAGACUUUCUCCCCCAGACUGAAAGGAAGGAUACAAGACAACUACUGUCACCACUGCUGUUACCAUGGUGCCGGGAGGCCCAGGCAACUCUUUAAGAAAAGGAAAAGGGGUGUAUGGCCUGGAAGAGAAGAACAAGGAAGACUGCAUCAUCUACUUAGCAGGAGAGAGAAGCAGAGCCAAACUGUGAAGGGGCUCAGAAAGGCAAGGAGCCCCCCCCACCCACACUCCAGGCCCUUUCUGAAGAAGCUGUAAGAGCCACAAUUUUAGGAACAGCAAAAUUGAAGUGGCUGCCACCACCUUGCAAUAAAGUUUUCCUGGCAGUGCCCCA
rnacentral:lncRNA from 1 species